rnacentral:rRNA from 1 species
GACGAACGCUGGCGGCGUGCUUAACACAUGCAAGUCGAACGGAAAGGCCCUGCUUUUGUGGGGUGCCCGAGUGGCGAACGGGUGAGUAACACGUGAGUAACCUGCCCUUGACUUUGGGAUAACUUCAGGAAACUGGGGCUAAUACCGGAUAGGAGCUCCUGCUGCAUGGUGGGGGUUGGAAAGUUUCGGCGGUUGGGGAUGGACUCGCGGCUUAUCAGCUUGUUGGUGGGGUAGUGGCUUACCAAGGCUUUGACGGGUAGCGGGCCUGAGAGGGUGACCGGCCACAUUGGGACUGAGAUACGGCCCAGACUCCUACGGGAGGCAGCAGUGGGGAAUAUUGCACAAUGGGCGGAAGCCUGAUGCAGCAACGCCGCGUGCGGGAUGACGGCCUUCGGGUUGUAAACCGCUUUCGCCUGUGACGAAGCGUGAGUGACGGUAAUGGGUAAAGAAGCACCGGCUAACUACGUG